UGGGGAAUUUUGGACAAUGGGCGAAAGCCUGAUCCAGCAAUGCCGCGUGUGUGAAGAAGGCCUUCGGGUUGUAAAGCACUUUUGUCCGGAAAGAAAUCCUUGGCCCUAAUACAGUCGGGGGAUGACGGUACCGGAAGAAUAAGCACCGGCUAACUACGUGCCAGCAGCCGCGGUAAUACGUAGGGUGCAAGCGUUAAUCGGAAUUACUGGGCGUAAAGCGUGCGCAGGCGGUUUGCUAAGACCGAUGUGAAAUCCCCGGGCUCAACCUGGGAACUGCAUUGGUGACUGGCAGGCUAGAGUAUGGCAGAGGGGGGUAGAAUUCCACGUGUAGCAGUGAAAUGCGUAGAGAUGUGGAGGAAUACCGAUGGCGAAGGCAGCCCCCUGGGCCAAUACUGACGCUCAUGCACGAAAGCGUGGGGAGCAAACAGGAUUAGAUACCCUGGUAGUCCACGCCCCUAAAACGAUGUCAACUAGUUGUUGGGGAUUCAUUUCCUUAGUAACGUAGCUAACGCGUGAAGUUGACCGCCUGGGGAGUACGGUCGCAAGAUUAAAACUCGAAGGAAUUGACGGGGUCAUAGCUGUUUCCU
rnacentral:rRNA from 1 species